rnacentral:rRNA from 1 species
CGGAUGACUUGUGGCUGGGGGUGAAAGGCCAAUCAAACCGGGAGAUAGCUGGUUCUCCCCGAAAGCUAUUUAGGUAGCGCCUCGUGAAUUCAUCUCCGGGGGUAGAGCACUGUUUCGGCAAGGGGGUCAUCCCGACUUACCAACCCGAUGCAAACUGCGAAUACCGGAGAAUGUUAUCACGGGAGACACACGGCGGGUGCUAACGUCCGUCGUGAAGAGGGAAACAACCCAGACCGCCAGCUAAGGUCCCAAAGUCAUGGUUAAGUGGGAAACGAUGUGGGAAGGCCCAGACAGCCAGGAUGUUGGCUUAGAAGCAGCCAUCAUUUAAAGAAAGCGUAAUAGCUCACUGGUCGAGUCGGCCUGCGCGGAAGAUGUAACGGGGCUAAACCAUGCACCGAAGCUGCGGCAGCGACACUAAGUGUUGUUGGGUAGGGGAGCGUUCUGUAAGCCUGUGAAGGUGUGCUGUGAGGUAUGCUGGAGGUAUCAGAAGUGCGAAUGCUGACAUAAGUAACGAUAAAGCGGGUGAAAAGCCCGCUCGCCGGAAGACCAAGGGUUCCUGUCCAACGUUAAUCGGGGCAGGGUGAGUCGACCCCUAAGGCGAGGCCGAAAGGCGUAGUCGAUGGGAAACAGGUUAAUAUUCCUGUACUUGGUGUUACUGCGAAGGGGGGACGGAGAAGGCUAUGUUGGCCGGGCGACGGUUGUCCCGGUUUAAGCGUGUAGGCUGAUUUUCCAGGCAAAUCCGGAAAAUCAAGGCUGAGGCGUGAUGACGAGGCACUACGGUGCUGAAGCAACAAAUGCCCUGCUUCCAGGAAAAGCCUCUAAGCAUCAGGUAACAUCAAAUCGUACCCCAAACCGACACAGGUGGUCAGGUAGAGAAUACCAAGGCGCUUGAGAGAACUCGGGUGAAGGAACUAGGCAAAAUGGUGCCGUAACUUCGGGAGAAGGCACGCUGAUAUGUAGGUGAAGCCACUUGCUCAUGGAGCUGAAAUCAGUCGAAGAUACCAGCUGGCUGCAACUGUUUAUUAAAAACACAGCACUGUGCAAACACGAAAGUGGACGUAUACGGUGUGACGCCUGCCCGGUGCCGGAAGGUUAAUUGAUGGGGUUAGCGGUAACGCGAAGCUCUUGAUCGAAGCCCCGGUAAACGGCGGCCGUAACUAUAACGGUCCUAAGGUAGCGAAAUUCCUUGUCGGGUAAGUUCCGACCUGCACGAAUGGCGUAAUGAUGGCCAGGCUGUCUCCACCCGAGACUCAGUGAAAUUGAACUCGCUGUGAAGAUGCAGUGUACCCGCGGCAAGACGGAAAGACCCCGUGAACCUUUACUAUAGCUUGACACUGAACAUUGAGCCUUGAUGUGUAGGAUAGGUGGGAGGCUUUGAAGUGUGGACGCCAGUCUGCAUGGAGCCGGCCUUGAAAUACCACCCUUUAAUGUUUGAUGUUCUAACGUUGGCCCCUGAUCGGGGUUGCGGACAGUGUCUGGUGGGUAGUUUGACUGGGGCGGUCUCCUCCUAAAGAGUAACGGAGGAGCACGAAGGUUGGCUAAUCCUGGUCGGACAUCAGGAGGUUAGUGCAAUGGCAUAAGCCAGCUUGACUGCGAGCGUGACGGCGCGAGCAGGUGCGAAAGCAGGUCAUAGUGAUCCGGUGGUUCUGAAUGGAAGGGCCAUCGCUCAACGGAUAAAAGGUACUCCGGGGAUAACAGGCUGAUACCGCCCAAGAGUUCAUAUCGACGGCGGUGUUUGGCACCUCGAUGUCGGCUCAUCACAUCCUGGGGCUGAAGUAGGUCCCAAGGGUAUGGCUGUUCGCCAUUUAAAGUGGUACGCGAGCUGGGUUUAGAACGUCGUGAGACAGUUCGGUCCCUAUCUGCCGUGGGCGCUGGAGAACUGAGGGGGGCUGCUCCUAGUACGAGAGGACCGGAGUGGACGCAUCACUGGUGUUCGGGUUGUCAUGCCAAUGGCACUGCCCGGUAGCUAAAUGCGGAAGAGAUAAGUGCUGAAAGCAUCUAAGCACGAAACUUGCCCCGAGAUGAGUUCUCCCUGACUCCUUGAGAGUCCUGAAGGAACGUUGAAGACGACGACGUUGAUAGGCCGGGUGUGUAAGCGCAGCGAUGCGUUGAGCUAACCGGUACUAAUGAACCGUGAGGCUUAACCUU